AGAGUUUGAUCAUGGCUCAGAUUGAACGCUGGCGGCAGGCCUAACACAUGCAAGUCGAGCGGUAACAGAAAUUAGCUUGCUAAUUUGCUGACGAGCGGCGGACGGGUGAGUAAUGCCUGGGAAUAUGCCUUAGUGUGGGGGAUAACUAUUGGAAACGAUAGCUAAUACCGCAUAACGUCUUCGGACCAAAGAGGGGGAUCUUCGGACCUCUCGCGCUAAGAUUAGCCCAGGUGAGAUUAGCUAGUUGGUGAGGUAAGAGCUCACCAAGGCGACGAUCUCUAGCUGGUCUGAGAGGAUGAUCAGCCACACUGGAACUGAGACACGGUCCAGACUCCUACGGGAGGCAGCAGUGGGGAAUAUUGCACAAUGGGCGAAAGCCUGAUGCAGCCAUGCCGCGUGUAUGAAGAAGGCCUUCGGGUUGUAAAGUACUUUCAGUAGGGAGGAAGGUGUUGUCGUUAAUAGCGGCAGCAUUUGACGUUACCUACAGAAGAAGCACCGGCUAACUCCGUGCCAGCAGCCGCGGUAAU
rnacentral:rRNA from 1 species